GCCCUGAUUUCUUAUUGGCAUUCACUCAAGGUCACCACCUCCGCUGCUGAAAGCGCUCGGUCUUUUUUUUCACUCUAUUACAUGCUACAUUUGAACAGUUCUGUCAUCUCCCCCCGCCGGGGACCAGUCUUGAAGUUUUCACACGCAAGUACUCGGCCGAAUCUUCCGCAGUACUGCAUCAUCAACAAAUUAAAGGUUAAUGAUCCAACUGAGCUACCGUCCGUCCUGGCAAAAACUCGGAACUUGUAUACAGCAACAGAACACUUUUUUAAAAGAAAAAAAAAGGGUAUCGGUUCAGAAUAACCUGGUCAUUCACAUUGCACGCCAUUUUAGUGUAAUUUUGUUGCGAACCGAGAAAGGAGCCAUCCAUUAAAAAGCUUUGCACAAGAGCUGCGCUAUUGCUUUUUCUCCUCCAAAACAGAGCAGAAAUUUCAAAAACAAGCGGUGAAAUACUGCGUAAUCACUUACUUGACAGGUCUCGGUGCUGUCCGCACUGCUAUCGCUUGGAGAAGGAACGAACGGCCGCAAUCCCGGCUGCGGGAGUUGACAUGUUCCGCUGCUGCUGACGCCUCUCCGGGCUGAGAGAGCCGGAGUUCCGCUGGGUGUUUUUCUCUCCGUCCAAAGGCGAGUCAUGUCUGCUUGAAACCGGACUCCCUGCGCUCUCUCGGUCGCCUGCGAACGCGUACAGUCCUCUUCAUAUAACCACGGAGGAUAUGCAAACCCUGCAACAAGAAAAGUCGUUUAUGGAAAAAAAUUCUAAAAGGCUGAACGUUUUAAAGAAAGAAUGGUUGCAGAACAACAAAAGUCAGUUACACUACGCUGCUCUAUACCCCCACCGACAGACAGAAGAAAAAGCUUUAUAUUUUUUCAGGCCAACAAAAGCUGCCGUGAGGUAAUGGUUUCGCUGUUUAUUGAAACCAUGGAAGAGGGGCUGGAUAAAGGAUAGAAAAAGACGUUACAAGGUCACACGAAAACUCUUUAUCUGAAUAAAAUAUUAUUUAAAGGCAAACACUACUCUUAACUGCACCUAAGGGCUCCAUGUCAAUAAAACGAUUACUUCCUUCCAGUUUGUUAUGUGUUAAAUCAUAUGUCUAUAAAGUUACAAAAGAGCAUCGUGUUUAAUACUGCAUUCAGUCAAAUAUUUCAAACAAAUACAAAAAAAACUGCACAACACACUAAUUCCCUCUUGUUCUUUCGAUUAUUGGUCAUAAAAUUUAAAGGAAAGUAAUUUCCACUGCAAAAAAUGUGAAACAAAGUUACACAACACAAAUGGUUCCCAUAAGGUAUAAUUCCCAUCUAUGCAAUAUUCAUAGCUUGUCUAGCCAAAUUGUCAAAUUUCAUUUAAAAAAUUCCAAUCAGCAUAAUAGCAACAUUCAGUCCUCGUCAAACAGCCGCUAAAGGUGGGUACCGAGGACUUUGUCUUGAACCAUGCAUCACUUUAAACAAUGCAUGGCUAUAAAUUAACUGGACAAAAAGUUGUUACUAUCUGAUUUCUCAUCCACCUUUAAUGGUUCUUAAACUCUAAUUAAAAUGCCUAUCGACACACCAACUAUAUUGUUCAAGGAAGGACUAAAUAUAUUUCGUGUCAUGCGGAUUCAGCAUCAAUUUAGUCUGUCUGACAUCUAGGCCAUGUAUUUGGCUUGAGUUGAGGUCUUUAUCGGCUUUGAGAGCGAGCUCCUCAGAAAGGGAAAGUCGGAAACAAUGGCUCUCUGCAGGGAAAGUUGUUAGUCACUGACUCCCUGUUUGUCUACCUUUCUCUAGGAAUUACUAGCUCAUUCUCUCCCAGUUCCAGACUGACAGUAAUCCACUCCAAUGACUUCUGCCUUUUGUGUGUUUAUAGUACAUGUCUCAACCAUAAUCUCAAAGCUACAAUUACAAUAGGAUGUCAUGACUUUAACCUUAACACUACUUCCUUUAAUUAACCUUUAGGGUGCAGGAGAGCAGCCUGUGUGGUAGAAAGUUGGUUUGUCAAAUCGGUGAAUUAUUUGUGGCUUUGGAGGUACAAACGGGCUCCAAUGGGAUACAAUUUUUUGCAAUUUGUUUGCUACACAUUAGAAUUAGUGGAGUUUUUCACAAGUCAGUUAAUAAAUCGCUUUUGAUCUCAAAGAACCGAAAUUAACUUGUGAACCUGUUACUAAUAGAUUCUGAAUGUUUUCACUAUCUCCGUAAUAUUAACUGAAUGGAUGAGAAUCAGCAUAUAAAUUCCCAAUGGCCACUCUAUUUUAAAAAGCUAUUUUAAAAAGAUGUUUACUGAUAUUAAUAGGCUCCUAUCUUAUCUCUAGACAUGAGAUUUUGUACAUUAUGUAUACAGUUGUUAUUUUACAAUCGUAAUGACAUAUAACUUAAUCCGAGGCGAUUUCAUUCUUGUAACCUAUAACAAACCGUCUUAGACGUCAAUGAAAAUGUUUCGUGCGUUAGAAAAUCAAUUUUCAAUUACCAACAUCUCUUUAUGCGUGUACAAUGGAGAAUGUCUGAAGAAAUGUUUUCUGUCCCAACUGUUCCUGCUUUGAUUUCCUUACUGAAAUAGACACUCUACCCUAACCUACAAGUUUACCUGUUUUAUCACUCGAAAAAAUCUAGGCAUCAUUAGAUGUUCAAAGGCAAUUUUUGUUCUAUCAAUGCUCUGUAUAAAUUUUAAUUAAAAAUGUAAGUGCCGUUGACAGACA